rnacentral:rRNA from 1 species
GAUGAACGCUGGCGGCGUGCCUAAUACAUGCAAGUCGAGCGAACAGACGAGGAGCUUGCUCCUCUGACGUUAGCGGCGGACGGGUGAGUAACACGUGGAUAACCUACCUAUAAGACUGGGAUAACUUCGGGAAACCGGAGCUAAUACCGGAUAAUAUAUUGAACCGCAUGGUUCAAUAGUGAAAGACGGUUUUGCUGUCACUUAUAGAUUGAUCCGCGCCGCAUUAGCUAGUUGGUAAGGUAACGGCUUACCAAGGCAACGAUGCGUAGCCGACCUGAGAGGGUGAUAGGCAACACUGGAACUGAGACACGGUCCAGACUCCUACGGGAGGCAGCAGUAGGGAAUCUUCCGCAAUGGGCGAAAGCCUGACGGAGCAACGCCGCGUGAGUGAUGAAGGUCUUCGGAUCGUAAAACUCUGUUAUUAGGGAAGAACAAAUGUGUAAGUAACUAUGCACGUCUUGACGGUACCUAAUCAGAAAGCCACGGCUAACUACGUG